GAUGAAGAACGUAGUGAAAUGCGAUAAGUAGUGUGAAUUGCAGAAUUCAGUGAAUCAUCGAAUCUUUGAACGCACAUUGCGCCCGCUGGUACUCCGGCGGGCACGCCUGUCCGAGCGUCAUUUCAACCCUCAAGCCCUCCUUCGGGAUGGGCCUGGUGUUGGGGCUCGGCCGCCAUCUCCGGCGGCCGUCCCCUAAAUACAGUGGCGGUCACGUCGCGACUCCUUUGCGUAGUAGAAACACCUCGCUCCGGAUAGCAACGCGGUCCACGCCGUAAAACCCCCAAUUUUUAAUGGUUGACCUCGGAUCAGGUGGGAAUACCCGCUGAACUUAAGCAUAUCAAUAAGCGGAGGA
rnacentral:misc_RNA from 1 species